rnacentral:lncRNA from 1 species
CUCCUUGGGCAGGACCCAUGUUUUAUAUUCCCAGCAUGCAUCAGCCACCUACAGUUAGCAGCUUGAGGUGGAGAGGAGGACACAGCUGGGGUGAGCAUUGAGGUGUGUGGAGCGAGGUUUUGAUUUUGAGCCCCGGCUCUGCUGCCUGAGUGCAGGCAGAUCGCAGUGACAUCAGCAGCCAGUGACCACACCAAGCUCCAGGCUCAGCAGGAAGAGGCACAGGUGUAGCCUGGCAGUGUGCCACUUGCAGGGCCUGAUGCAGACGCUCACGCAGGAGCCUAGGCACAUGUGGAGGUAAAGUGGGCAAUGGCACGGCAUCUGACCACAGUCCGGGUGUGCGUUUGUACAAGGCAAAGCUGGGUUUAAAAACUGUAGCCUUUCCGUCGUUUUAAGGAAGCUGGGUGUCCUGUCAGGGGAGUUGACUGUGGUCAUUCUUCAUGAAUUUCACCUCCUUCUCUCUCUCUCUCUGUCCGUGCUCUGCGGGGGCGAGCAGGCGUCACGCUGGCCGAUCUCUCGGACAAGAAGAGAGGGAAGCACGGCUGGUUCAGUCACUCCAACGAGACUCACGCGAGCCUCCCGGCCAGCGAGACGGCUUC